GUCGAACGAACUCUGGUAUUGAUUGGUGCUUGCAUCAUGAUUUACAUUUGAGUGAGUGGCGAACUGGUGAGUAACACGUGGGAAACCUGCCCAGAAGCGGGGGAUAACACCUGGAAACAGAUGCUAAUACCGCAUAACAACUUGGACCGCAUGGUCCGAGCUUGAAAGAUGGCUUCGGCUAUCACUUUUGGAUGGUCCCGCGGCGUAUUAGCUAGAUGGUGGGGUAAUGGCUCACCAUGGCAAUGAUACGUAGCCGACCUGAGAGGGUAAUCGGCCACAUUGGGACUGAGACACGGCCCAAACUCCUACGGGAGGCAGCAGUAGGGAAUCUUCCACAAUGGACGAAAGUCUGAUGGAGCAACGCCGCGUGAGUGAAGAAGGGUUUCGGCUCGUAAAACUCUGUUGUUAAAGAAGAACAUAUCUGAGAGUAACUGUUCAGGUAUUGACGGUAUUUAACCAGAAAGCCACGGCUAACUACGUGCCAGCAGCCGCGGUAAUACGUAGGUGGCAAGCGUUGUCCGGAUUUAUUGGGCGUAAAGCGAGCGCAGGCGGUUUUUUAAGUCUGAUGUGAAAGCCUUCGGCUCAACCGAAGAAGUGCAUCGGAAACUGGGAAACUUGAGUGCAGAAGAGGACAGUGGAACUCCAUGUGUAGCGGUGAAAUGCGUAGAUAUAUGGAAGAACGCCAGUGGCGAAGGCGGCUGUCUGGUCUGUAACUGACGCUGAGGCUCGAAAGUAUGGGUAGCAAACAGGAUUAGAUACCCUGGUAGUCCAUACCGUAAACGAUGAAUGCUAAGUGUUGGAGGGUUUCCGCCCUUCAGUGCUGCAGCUAACGCAUUAAGCAUUCCGCCUGGGGAGUACGGCCGCAAGGCUGAAACUCAAAGGAAUUGACGGGGGCCCGCACAAGCGGUGGAGCAUGUGAUUUA
rnacentral:rRNA from 1 species